rnacentral:rRNA from 1 species
GUGCCAGCAGCCGCGGUAACACGUAGGGCGCAAGCGUUGUUCGGAAUUAUUGGGCGUAAAGGGUGCGUAGGCGGCUUGGCAAGUCUUGUGUGAAAUCUUCGGGCUCAACUCGAAGUCUGCACGGGAAACUGCCGGGCUUGAGUAUGGGAGAGGUGAGUGGAAUUUCCGGUGUAGCGGUGAAAUGCGUAGAUAUCGGAAGGAACACCUGUGGCGAAAGCGGCUCACUGGACCAUAACUGACGCUGAGGCACGAAAGCUAGGGGAGCAAACAGGAUUAGAUACCCUGGUAGUCCUAGCCCUAAACUAUGCAUAUUUGGUGUGGGUCAUUCAGUUGAUCCGUGCCGGAGCUAACGCGUUAAGCGAUCCGCAUGGGGAGUACGGUCGCAAGGCUGAA